AGAUCGACCGUGUCAUAUUCGC
rnacentral:miRNA from 1 species